rnacentral:rRNA from 1 species
GACGAACGCUGGCGGCGUGCUUAACACAUGCAAGUCGAACGAAGUGGCGAACGGGUGAGUAAUACGUGGGUAACCUGCCCUCCUUUUUGGGAUAAGCCUUGGAAACGGGGUCUAAUACCGAAUAAAGGGGGAUGGGCUCGCGGCUUAUCAGGUUGUUGGUGGGGUGAUGGCCUACCAAGGCGGUGACGGGUAGCCGGCCGGAAAGGGUGACAGGGUCGGAUGGGACUGAGGUACGGCCGAGACACCGACGGGGGGCAGGAGUGGGGGAUAUUUAUAAAUGGGCGGAAGCCUGUUGAAGCGACGCCGCGGGGGGGGUGAGGGGGUUCGGGUUGUAAACCUAUUUCGCUAUAGGACGGGUAGGUGGAGAAGAAGCGCCUGCUAACUACGUGCCAGCAGCCGCGGUAAUAC